AGUGAACGCUGGCGGUAGGCCUAACACAUGCAAGUCGAACGGCAGCACAGUAAGAGCUUGCUCUUACGGGUGGCGAGUGGCGGACGGGUGAGGAAUACAUCGGAAUCUACUUUUUCGUGGGGGUUAACGUAGGGAAACUUACGCUAAUACCGCAUACGACCUACGGGUGAAAGCAGGGGAUCUUCUGACCUUGCGCGAUUGAAUGAGCCGAUGUCGGAUUAGCUAGUUGGCGGGGUAAAGGCCCACCAAGGCGACGAUCCGUAGCUGGUCUGAGAGGAUGAUCAGCCACACUGGAACUGAGACACGGUCCAGACUCCUACGGGAGGCAGCAGUGGGGAAUAUUGGACAAUGGGCGCAAGCAUGAUCCAGCCAUACCGCGUGGGUGAAGAAGGCCUUCGGGUUGUAAAGCCCUUUUGUUGGGAAAGAAAAGCAGCAGGUUAAUACCCCGCUGUUCUGACGGUACCCAAAGAAUAAGCACCGGCUAACUUCGUG
rnacentral:rRNA from 1 species